rnacentral:rRNA from 1 species
UACCUGCAGCUCAAGUGGUGACCGCUAUUAUUGGGCCUAAAACGUCCGUAGCCGGCUGAGUAAAUGCUUGGGUAAAUCGUGUAGCUUAACUAUACGAAUUCCGGGUAGACUGCUUAGCUUGAGAUCGGGAGAAGCUAGAGGUACUCCUGGGGUAGGGGUGAAAUUCUGUAAUCCUGGGGGGACCACCAGUGGCGAAGGCGUCUAGCUAGAACGGGUCUGACGGUGAGGGACGAAACCCUGGGGCGCAAACCGGAUUAGAUACCCGGGUAGUCCAGGGCGCAAACGCUGCUUGCUUGAUGUUAGUCGGGCUCCGAGCUCGACUAGUGUCGGAGAGAAGUUGUUAAGCAAGCUGCCUGGGAAGUACGAUCGCAAGAUUGAAACUUAAAGGAAUUGGCGGGGAGCACAGCAACGGGUGGAGCGUGCGGUUU